UCUCUUUCUACCCAAAUUAUAUAUUUUUAAAAAUUUAAUUUAAUCAAAAUUAAUUAUCACUAAUACAAAAUACUCUAUGUUAUUUUGAUGACUAACUUUUCCCAUAAUUUAUUAUACAUUUUUCUUAUACUGAGAACCUAAUUAAACAAAUAGUAAUUCAAUUAAAAUUUAGAAACUAAAUAGUUAAUUUUUUUUGUUAAUUGUAAUUAUAUAUGAGUAAUUUAAGUUUAGAACUUGUCACAGCAAGUGUUGAUAGGUUCAUUUUUCUAUAUCUCAAUCUCCGUUUGUUUUCCUAAAAUGACUCAUAGGAAAAUAUUUUCCACAAUUUCCGUUAUUUAGGGUGUUUAGGAAAAUAAGUUAAUGGAAAAUAUUUUUUUGAUCAAAGAAAAAUUAAGUCAUUUUUUAAGGAAAAUAAUUUCUCAUUUUCGAGAGAGAAAAAUAUUUUUCGAAAAUUGACAAACUUUAUAGAUCUAUAUUUUUAAUUUAUUAAUCAUUAUAAUCACUACCACCGGUCAUCAUUUAUCACUAACUACUACCACUAGCUACCACCACCAGUCAACGAUGGAUUUCAUAAUAUAUAUAUAUAUAUAUAUAUAUUUUUUUUUCAUUAUUUUCAUAUUAACAAUAAAAAUUUUAAAUUAUAAAAUUUCUAUUAAUAUUAAUAUUUUUUAUUAUUUUACGAGAUAAGAUUUUAAUAUUUUUAAUUAAUUUUUAAUAUUACAAUCAAACAAUAAAAAAUAAUUUAUUUAAAAAUAUUUUUAAGCAAAUUAUUUUACUGAAAAUUUUUUUAAUUGAAUAAACUGAUUGUUACGUACAUGGGUCAUGUGUUCACGUGCAUGAAUCUUAUCAUAGAGUCUGCCAUUGCAGUUGCUUAAUUGGUACUACUUGGUUCUUGCUCAUGCGUUGCACUACAGAACGGGCCUGCCACUGCUGCAAAUUUCAAGAGAGAAGACCACAAAUAAAUGGCGACAGUUUGUUAACCUCGGUUUCGUAAAUUGUUUUUUUUUUCCCCAUAUAUUUGAUGUAAACCAAUUUCUUUUUGAACUGUAGAGCUUAAAUUUUUUUUUUUUUUUUUAUCAUCUUCCUUAUAUCAAAAUUAUGUUUUCAUUUUUUACAAGAGUAAAAAUUUAUUUACCGCCACAAUAAAUAUAUAUGCUGGUGUUUUUAAUUCCUUUUAUAUAUAUCCUGACAAGGUAAUGUAAAAUGAGUAAUACAUAGAAUUGGAAAUGUAGAAAUAAUAAAAUCCAAAAGGUCGAUUAUAAUUAUUGAAAAUGACAUGGAUGGGUCAUUUUCUCCAUCUUAAAUGCCCUAAUUAAUUACCCUCCUCUUUUUUUUUUUUUAACUGCCACAAAAUAGUGUUUAUGGUACAUUUUGCAUUCACGAGGGUUCGCGUAAAUUAUACGUUGAGAUGAUAACGAAACAGCUAGUGUGCCCAUUGCAUUGAAGAUGGAGAUUAACUAAUUAAUUUUGAUAUUAGUGACUUCUUAAAAAUAUUUAUGAUUUAUAUAAUAUUAGAAUAUAUUGAUCUUACAAAAGAAUUUGUUUAGUAAAUUUGAAAAUAAUGAAUGAGGAGGAUAUAAUUGUCUAAAAAAAAUAAUAAUAAAAACAAUAACAACAAUAGAUAAUUUUUUAACUAUAAUUAUAAUUGACUGAUUUUAUAAAAAUUAAUAUACACCUAACACAGCUAUAGUGUUUUUCUUAUAAUUAAAAUUAUUAUUUGUAUAAUAAAUAAAUAUUCUGACAAUUGAAUAAUCUUUUUUAGCAUUAAAUUGUCCACUCUUGGAACAAAAUAAUUACUCAACCAAUUAAUAUAUUUUUAUACUAAUAUCAACCUUUAAAUUAAAAAAUGAAUGCCAAUUGGUCUGGUUGGUGGAGAGUAACACAUCGAGUUCAAAAUUAUACAUUCAAAAUUAAUUUUUAGUAAAUUCUCAACCUUUCAUUUAGAAAAAGAAAUUAUAUCGAAAUCUUUAUUUUUGGAUAGCUAAUUUGGGGCUACAUGGAUGGGCAUGCAACAGAGAUAUACACAAGCAUCCAUCAUUGAAUGGAAAGCUAAGCCUUUUUAAAACUUUCAACCUCAUCUGCAACUGCAAAUUGGCAAACUCAAUGAUCAACUUUUACGAGUUGACUCCAUCUUUUGAAAAAGAAAUUUAUUGAAGAAACCCCAAAAGUCAAAAACCCUAAUCUUCCGAAAGCAUCAUCAUCAUAUAAGUUCAUAACAAUGCCUUCAAUGCAAGAACCUGUGAGCCUGUUGACAGGUUGGACCAAUAAAUUUCUUGUCCAUUGGCAGAUGAGCCUCAUUUACUCAUGCAGAUAUGACAGUUGAGUCGAUUUUCAGUGACUUAUAGGAGAAAUAUGUUCUAAGCUAUUUCUCAGCUUAUAAAUAUGUGUCCUACACUCUUAUUACACCACUGCUCAGUUAGCUUUGCUUGCUAGCUAUAGAUUGUUUAAGCAAGCAAUGGGUACUGCCAUUAAUCAUAUUUGUGUUUUGGGAGCUAUCUUGUUGUGUCAUUUCCUUGUGAGUGCUGUUUUUGUAUUGGCUGAUCGUGUUAAUGUUGAUGAUAAGGAUGAUAAGCAUUUGCUGUUUCAUCGCCCUUUGUUGGGAGGAGGUUUAGGUCAUGGCAUUUAUAAGAAGGGUUUUAAACAUGGUGGUCUCGGUGGUGGUAUAGGAGGUGGAGCAGGUGGUGGGUUUGGAGGUGGUGCAGGAGGUGGUUUUGGUGGUGGAGCUGGGGGUGGUUUUGGUGGUGGAGCUGGUGGCGGGCUAGGUGGAGGUGGGGGUCUUGGUGGUGGUGCAGGUGGAGGUUUAGGUGGUGGUGGUGGGCUUGGUGGCGGCGCUGGUGGAGGUUUGGGUGGUGGCAUUGGUCACGGAGGUGGUUUAGGUGGUGGCAUUGGUCACGGAGGUGGUUUAGGGGGUGGCAUUGGGCAUGGAGGUGGUCUAGGCGGUGGUGGUGGACUAGGAGGGGGAGCUGGAGGAGGUUUGGGUGGCGGACAUGGCGGGGGUCUUGGAGGUGGCGGUGGACUAGGUGGCGGACAUGGUGGAGGUCUUGGAGGUGGUGGUGGGCUAGGUGGCGGACAUGGUGGGGGUCUUGGAGGUGGCGGAGGACUAGGUGGCGGACAUGGUGGUGGACUUGGAGGUGGUGGCGGACUAGGUGGUGGACAUGGUGGUGGUCUAGGAGGAGGAGCUGGAGGAGGUUUAGGUGGUGGACAUGGUGGAGGUCUUGGAGGUGGUGGUGGAAUAGGAGGGGGAGCUGGUGGAGGCUUGGGUGGUGGACAUGGUGGUGGUCUUGGAGGAGGAGCUGGAGGAGGCUUAGGUGGUGGACAUGGUGGAGGUCUUGGAGGUGGUGGUGGACUAGGAGGGGGAGCGGGCGGAGGCUUGGGUGGUGGACAUGGUGGUGGUCUUGGAGGUGGUGGCGGACUAGGUGGCGGACAUGGUGGUGGUCUUGGAGGAGGAGCUGGAGGAGGUUUAGGUGGUGGACAUGGUGGAGGUCUUGGUGGAGGAGGUGGACUUGGAGGGGGUGGUGGUGUUGGUGGAGGUGCAGGAGGUGGCUUUGGUGGCGGUGCAGGUGGCGGUGGAGGGCUAGGAGGUGGUGCUGGCGGCGGAGGAGGAUUUGGUGGAGGUGGGGGUGCCGGAGGAGGAUUUGGAGCUGGUGGAGGUUUUGGCAAAGGUGGUGCUAUUGGUGGUGGAGCAGGUGGAGGUGGCGGUGGAGGUGGUGGGUUUGGGGGAGGCUUUGGUGCUGGUGGUGGCGCAGGGUUUGGUGCUGGAGGUGGAUUUGGUGGUGGACACUAAAUUAAGCUGAUGCUGAGAUUAGCAAGCCGAGAAGUAGAAGAAUGAAAUAUACAUAUGUUGCGUACUCUACCCCAUAUCAGUAAUGUGUGUCAGUGUCACUAAUUGGAUAUGCUUUCUUGUAUCAUUUGUUUUUUUCUUUUAUCCAAAUAUAAAAUUAAUUAAUCAACAAUUAAAAAAUUAUAAUCACCGCUGAUGAGGCUGAUUAACAAAUCAAAGCUUAAACUAAUGGUGUUUUAUUUUGGUUUUUUUAAUUGUUAUUUCGCCCAUGCAUGCAAAAACUUGUAAACAUAUCCAAUUAGUGUACGUCUCCUCCUUGAGAACUCCAUAUAUGUUCAUUUUGGUGUACCAAAAUGAAAUCAUUCUACUCCCUAAUGAACUGACACUCAUUAAAUUUUAGGUUUGAACCACAUAGUUGAGUAUUAAAAACUCUCACCAACCCACAAAUAAUAAUGCAUGUAUUGAAGAUUUCGGACAGUGGAAAAACCGGUGCAUUUAAACGAUGUCUGAUCAUCCAAUUUCAACCAUUUCUUAGUUUGCAGGUAUUGUCGUUGGGCCCAGAUGUUCAAAACUUAAUAAUUUGUUAAUUAUCCAACUUAACUAAAUGGAUUAAAGGGAAGCAUUGAUUAUAUCAGAGGCCAAAAGAUGAUAUGCUUCAUUAAUGAAUUCCUCAAUUUAGAAACGGAAUUGUAUGUUUGACGUACAUGAACAAGUUUGCCAAUAUGGAAUUUGAGAUUGAAAAUCAAUUAUUAUUCAGCUAAAUUUGAUUAAGGAUUUUCUUAUAGAAAUUGUAAGCAAAUUUAGCAAAACAAAUGAACGACAGAGGAUUCCAAGGGGCUCAAGUAUUUUUCAUUUGAAAGGCCCAGUCAUAGCCCAUUAAGACUUUUCCCUUGCUCCAAUGGACGAAAGAGGAUUUUUUUUUUUUUUUUUUUUAAAUUAGUUUAUGAACAUGAUAAUUUUUUGUUCUAUAUAUAGUUUGUUAUUGAAUUUUUCUUAGGAUACAUAAUAAAUUUCUUGAAGGAGAAUGUGACUAGCUUAUGAUAAUGACUAGCUUAAUCUGGAAAAUUGGAUGCCAGAAGGGCUUUUACAGCUGCUUAGCAGAGAACAUUAUUCCUUCGAUUUCAAGUAAUGUGAGAAAUUUCAAUACAUGUAAUAUUGGAUUAAAAAGAAAGGAAAAAGACUUGCCUAGAUCAUGGACCAAGUAAAUAAAAUUCAAAUUUUCUAACAAGUGUUUUGACUUUUUUUUUUUUUUUUUCAAGUGUAUGGAAAUACUCUCGUUGAAAUACUAUCAUUUGAAAUUCAGGAUUUUCUAAAUUGAAAAUACUGUCGUAUCAAUUUACAUUUUAAUUUGUAAAUUGUACAUAUUCUACACAAUUUUAUUUUUUAUUUUUUAUUUUUUUAUUUUUGAGAGAACACAAACAUAACACAAUAUAUCACACAUUUUUCAUGGAAACAAAUUCUGACAUAACAUACUAACUUAUGUAACUCAUACCUGCAUACAUUUUUAAUAAAUAUAAUUUUAUAAAUAAAAUGUUAAACAAAUCAUAUUAAAAAAAAUAAAAAAUGCAAAUCAGUUGUUAAUUUAUAUUUAAUAAUAAAAUUUAUAAUUAUUAUGAAAUAAUUGAGCUUUUCGGAAUUUUUUUUCCUGAUUAGGAAAAAGUGAGGGCGAUUGAACGAUGGGUGAGCCCAAUCACUGUCGUUUCUACUAUUAUGAUUAUCGAAUCGUAUCUUACGACUUUUUUUGUGUGUCAGCUCCCUCGUGUUUUGUGCUUUUAACGGGACAAAUGCAAGAAUGAAUGGCUUCUAAAUAAUGUCAUAAGCAUAAAACCAAAGAGUACUCGCUCCUAAGAGUUCUUUACGUAUGACAUCUCUGACAUUAUUCAUCUCAUUUCCUUUCAGUUUCUGGGUUUCACUCACUAAUUAAUUUCCACAAACUAAAUUCAUAAUUAAUCAAUUAAUUAUAUUAUAUAAAACUAUUUUUAUAAUGUUUAGUAAUAAUUUUUAAAAGUUAAGAUAAAAUUUUGUUAAUAAUUAUAACGCUUAGCUUUUAACGUUUUAUAAAAAGUUAUUCUAACAGCUAAUUAAACACUACUAAAAUAGCUAACAACUAUCAAAACCGUUAAUUUUGACAAACAAACCCUAAGCAUGAUCGUGCACUAUUUAGUACUUCAUGUAUAAUUUAGAAUUUAAACUGUAAAGUUCCGUUACAUUACAUUCUAUUACGAUGUACUAACUGAAGUCAUCAUUAAUCCCUUGUUUGUAUUGUAAAAAUAAGAGUUCUCGGUCGAAUUAUUUUGUAACAUAAAGGGAAAAGAUCAACUUAAUGUGUAACUCGGCCAAUUUUACUCUAACAAAGAUAAAAUAAAAUGGAAGAAAUUGGCUAUGUAUAUAUAUGCACAUAAAAAUAUAUAAUUUUUUCUUUUUUUUGAGAAUAUAUUAUACAUCAAUGGCAUAAAAAUUAUAAUUAACAAUAUAUAUAAAAUCACACAAACAUGCAUACAAAGAAAGAAAAGAAGUUAAGAAAUGAAAUAUUAAUUUACUUGCUAUUCACAUAUACUACUUCUAGUGAAGCAAAAAAGAAAACAUCUAAAAAGAGUGAUGGAUAGAAAAAUGAUAGCAAGAACCAUUGGACCACAAUCAAUUAAUAACUUUGAUAGUACUGAAAACGAACCCUCUUUCUUACUAGUUUGAUUCUGGAUUUGGACCGCUAGGUACUUCAUGGGCAGCUGCUUUAAACUCUUCGCCUGAACUGCUCGCACCACCAGAACCAGAAAUUCUAGUGGUAGAAGCGUCUGGUGUGUGUAACUCUGUGCUAUUUGGUGAAGCAGAAGCCAUGGAUUUCUUGGGGAAGUCGCUAAUAGGACGACCAAGAAGAGGAACAACCAGGAAAAGAAAGCCAAGAAACAAGAACAGAGCUUGAAGUCUGAAACUUACUGUUGAAAUUUCACAUGCCAUGAAAUUAGUAAUUAUAAACCUCCCCCCCAGUAAUCCACAAGGGAUUAAUAUCCAUGAACCAGUUGAAACUCCAAUAAUAAUUAAUUAGAAGAAAUAUUGGGGAAAAGAAAGAGUAGAGAAAGAAAGAAAGAAAGAAAAUAAGGUUGCAGUUGCAGAUGGAAAGGAACUUGUAAAAUUUCAAGGCAGAUGCUUUUAGGAAGUUAUAUAUGCCAAGGUUGGUAUAAAUGUUUUUAUACGUGAUGCCAUUAUUACCCUUGUUCUUCUUUUUAAAUUUCAAUUUUAACUAUAUAUGGUUACAGAUAAGCCAAUACAUUAUUGUGCAAUUAUGUGAUACAAGAAAAUUGACCAAUGAAAAAGUUUGCUUCCAGACUGUGGUGCAUAUCUGUAUGGUAUUAUGUGCUAAUUAUCAUUAACAAUACUAAAUUUAUGAUUAAACAUAAUUCAUCUAUAUUGAAAUUUAAAAAAAUUAAAAUGAAAAAUUUUGAUAAACUUUACGGUAAUUUCAAUUAAAAUUUAAAUUUUUUGUAAAAAAAUUAUAAAUCAUUGUCUUUCUUUAAAGAAAAAAAGAAUCCGGAAAGAGAAAAAGAAGAGUUGGUGGAAUGAGAACGAGGUGGAUGACUUCUUGCAGCCGGGCUGGUUGUGAUCAAGAAAUCUUUUUUCAUUGACUUGUAAAACCAUUUGAAAAUUACAAGGCAUUGUUCAAUCCAUUUAGCCUUUUUAUCAAAAUUUUAGUUAAAGAAAAGCAUCACACACACACAUAUAUAUAUAUAUAUACUGCUUUCCUGUGCUUUGUGAAAAUCCGGGAUUGUCUCCAUGAUCAGAUGCAGAUGGGUCCCUACUUUCUUUAUACAUACUCCUUCAAUAUGACCUUAAAUUAUUGGGAUUGGAUCAUCAUAAAUAAAUUGCAUCUCUUCACUAAUUUUAUUUAUAAAAUUAAAGAUUUAAAAUUUAAAAGUACCAUUAUUAAAAUUUUUUUUUUUUGCUUAAAAGAUGAUAUUUGUGAUCAUCGGGAGAAAAAUAUGAAUAAAAUAGUAAUCUUAUUUUUUUUUUUUAAAAAAAAAAAUUGAUUAACUUGGUGAUGAGUGUCGAAGAUUUUAUCCAUAUAUUAAAGUAGUUUUUGCAAUUAAUUCUUUUCAAUUUCCUUUAGAAAAUGAAAUAAAAUCUUCUCGAUGCAAUGGUGGUCGAUUGACGAUUGAUCGAUGGUGACCAGAGAAUACUUUAUUGUCUGUGGGCUACAGUGACAACUGACUACUGAUUUGCCGUUAAAAAUAAAAUAAAAUAUUAUAAUUAAAGAAAAGAAAACGGAAACGUAUCCAUGCAUGGCAAAAAGCAAUAUGUUUUUCACGUAAGGCUUUCACACACGUAUGUAUAUAUAUGUAUAUAUAUGUCGAUGAUUGCUUUCUAAUUUCUAAUUCAAUGGUAGUCGUUACCCAUAUGGCUUUCAUUUUUCUACCAUUUCCCAUUUUGAAGGUGGCAAGUCACCUCUGCAACAAUAACUUCCUUGUCGUCUUCUUUGCCAUCUCAGUUUCAAUUUUUGAACAAUUACGUAUUAAUUAUGCAAUUAAUAUGUAUUUACAAAGAUAUGUUCACAAAAUUAUUUAUUUAUACUAUAAAAGAUUUAUUAUAGUUUUUUUUUUAAAUAUAUAGUUUUUUUUUUAAAUAUAUAGUUAGGAGUACCAUAGAGUUAACUUGAACAUACCAAGACAAAGUUAUUUUCCUAUAUUUAAUAUAUAUAUAUAUAUAUAUAUAUAUAUAUAUUAAAUAUAGGAAAAUAACUUUGUCUUGGUAUGUUCAAGUUAACUCUAUGGUACUCCUAACUAUAUAUUUAAAAAAAAAACUAUAUAUUUAAAAAAAAAGCAUUUAAUUUAAAAAUAUUAUUCUUGAGGCAGUUUUUAAUGUCAUCGAACUCUGGUUGUUGAUAAGAAAACAACUCUAUGUACUAAUUGAAUCGUGUAAUCAGUUAUAUAGUUAAAAUUAUUAAUUUUUUUCUAAUUCAGUUUCUUUUUUAAUUUAGUCUGAGGAUUAAUCAAAAUGCUGAUCUUUUAUUAUAUUAUGGUUGGUCAAAAUGUUCAUAAGCUUGAAAGCUACUAAACAGAAAAAAAAAAAAAAAAAGCAAAUUGCAAGUUUAGAACAUCUUUUGAUGCAUUUACCUAAUUUUCCACAAACGUUAAUUUAUCUUUUUAAGGAAAUAAUCGUUUUUUCUGGUUUUAGGUUUUCAAUAAUUUAUUACAGGACCUAAGUUCUUUAAAUUAUCUAAUCUUGGAAUAGCUUUAUAUACGAAUUUAUCCAAGAUAUUAUAUGCAAUAACAUGUUGAUGGAUCAGGCAUUCAAAUAUUUAGCAUGUGCAUUAAAGUAAUCAUCCUCAGAAAAAUUUUAAAAUUUUUACACAAAUGAUCAAAUCGUAGAAUUGAAUGAUUGAUAUAAACCAAAUGAAAAGACUACAACAUAAAUAGAAAAAGGGAAUUCUUUGUCCAUUUAAUGUUAAGGCAACUAGCAAUGUUUUGGUAUAAAUCUUUAAGUGGAAAUCUUUUUUUUUUUUUUUUUUUUUAAUAUAAAUUACUGCAUGAUAAAAAGGUUUCUUGGGAAAGGACAUAAAAGCAUGCCAGAAUGGUAGGGCAAACAAAAAGAAUACAUACUAAGAGAUCUUCAUAAUUUUUUUUUUAUCAUUUUAGGAGUAUUGUCAACUUUUUUGGUUAAUGCUUGUCAAUUUAUGUUAUUUCAUGUUUGUGCUUUUUUUUUUUUUUUCAUCAAAAUAAUUCUGAUGCUCAUGUGAUGUCAUCUUUUGGCUUUUGUGUUAAUUUCAAAAUAAGCCUACUAAAUUGAGCACAGUGGUUAAAUAAUUUAAUUAAAAAAAAACCAUCAAACAUAUCAAACAUAAAAAAAUGUUUGUCAUUUUUAUAUCUAUUGUAAAUACUUAUUGAUGUAUAACCCAAAUGAAGUAGCUCAGUGGUAAAAAGUACUUGCGGGAUUGAUCAGUCUAACUUAGAUGAGGUUCAAUCAUCCGUAAUGCAAAUUCUCUUGGAUCAGUCCCUUCGCACUGCGAACGAGUGAGAAUUAAUCAGAUUUACCGUGGAUUGUAAAAACGGACACGAACUUAAAUACCUCGUGAAAAUAUAAAAAAAUAUUUAUUCACUUAUCAUUUCAUUCUUUACAAAUAAAUCGAGUGCAACAAAGUAUCAUACUUUUUGACAUUGGUUUGAUAGAAUGAUGUUCGAAUUGAACUGAGUUGGAACUUAAUUUCAAAUUUAUAAUUUUUUUUAAACUUAAUUUCUUUAGUUUUUAAGCGAGAUAGAACUUAUAUAGGAACUUAUUCAACUUAUUAAAAUUAUAAUUUUGAUAUAUUUUAUUGCUUUUUCUAUUUAAUAAUAUUAUUUUACCUUAAAAUUGCAUAUUCAUAUCGACUCUAUGUACUAAAAUUUUAUUUAUAUUUAAUUUAAUUUUUAUUUCAUAAAAAAUUUUACAAAAUAUAAACACAAUUAUUUUUAUAAUAUUACUCUAUUAAUCACUUUUAAAUUAAGCUAUUUAUAAGCUUUUGAGUCAAGUUUAUAUAUAAUCUAACUUAUUCAUGAAAAAUAAUGAAAUUUUAAUUUAUAUUUUAAAUUUAAUUUAUUUUCAUUAACAAAUGUGUUUCGAGAUUUUUUUUAUGUAAACUACCAAUAUUCGGAUUUUAUUACUAGGGACCGCUUAUCCAACUCAGAAUUUUAGUCACAGUUAAAACUCAUCGCCUCUCUGCAGAUGCGUUAAGUAAGGAUCGAACUCAAAACUCUUCCCACAUGUUCAGUUUGCGUUGCUAACUUAACCUCAGCCGUUUCAAGAUUUUAUCGAGUACAACCUCAGCCAAAUUCAAGUGGCUUCAAUAAUCCUAUUUCGGACCAAUGUAUAUACACAAUUAAAACUUAACAUGCAAAACCACUGGUGUUCAUGCAGGCCUAUCAUUUUUGUCCGUUGGAUCUAUUGGCAGACAUUUUGAUCUCAUUGUUUCCAUUGGGCUUAUAGACGUUUUAUCCAUUGGCAGACAUUUCGACUCUUCUUACGCAGUUUAUCGACUUGAAAAGUCCAAAACAACUUGGCCCAUGUCCACGGUCUGAAGUCCUAAAAAUCACGUCGUUUGGGGCACUGCGGAUAAACGGCGUCGGUUUUGCUUUUACGGACUAACGAAACUUCGACUCGUCCUCUCCAUUAUAGUUAUCUAUGUCCUGAAACCACAGAUCUCUCCCCUCUCUACAUCGGUGGACAAUGGAAUUUCGUUUACGCAGCGUUUUCCAUCUUCUUAUAGUCUCGUCUCUUCUCUGCACACUAGCUAGGGUACAUACUUCUGCGCUCUUGCUCUCUUUAUGAAUCGUAUGGAUGGAUACAUGUUUGUGUAGCUUAAUUUAUAUCUCGCUUGAUCGGGUGAUUUUGUGGCUUGAUUUGGUUGAUUGUGGAUUCCAGGCCGAAACUACCGGUUCAGUUUUCUUCAUCGAUGGCCAGAAUCACCAGUAUCUUAGGAAGCCAUUAUCUACAAACGAUGUCGUCCAGGUUCAUUUGUUUAACUUAUACAAAUCAUACAAUUUUCUAAUUCGACUCCUUGGAUGAAAAAUUUUAAUUGAUUUUUUCCUAAGUUUAUGGAAGUUUUUAUUUCUUUUCAUCGAUCACCAUGAUUUUAGGAGGUUAUUUGAGUGUGUUUAAAUUAUUUGUACUGAGAAAUGGUGGUUUUUUCAUUCGCAUUAGACAUGACUUAUUGGAAUUUCUCUGCUGGAAGUAAGAUGAAGUUGAAUAGUAAAAGAUGAGAUUCAAAUUUGCAUUAUCUCUUGCCACCUUUGCUGCUACUGUGGUCCGGGGGCUGAUGGGUUGGGGUUGUUUUGCCAUGAUAUGUCAUUUGGUCUUAAUGUAUGAAGAAAGUUACCUAUUUUGUUGGACUGGACUAUUUACAUCUUGAUUUUGUUGAUACACAAAGCAGUUUUCUCCUGGGCUGCCUUUCACGUAUUUAGUUUGUUUUUUGCUCUCCCUUAUAGCUAUUUUUUCACUUUCAGUCUCAUUCCAUGUCGCCUCUGGAAGUCGGUGCUGCUGUGUCUGUCUUGCUUGGUUUUCAACCUCCUACCACACUUUCAGCUGCUGGUUCAUCCAAGGUCCUUGCAAUGAUGAGUUCUGCAAAAUUAAUUUGUUUUAGAUCCUUUUUAUAUUUAAUUCUGGGAUUGUGACAAUUUUACUGCUUUUUCUGUAGUUGAAUGAGGUUCUCAUGCCCAAUCCAUUUGAUAGACCUCGUGCUGUUUUUGUGCUGGAAGUCACAGGAGUAAAUGGUGACUGCACUUCAAUUUUGAAAUGAACCAUAAUCUGAACUCUUAAUUGUUUUAUCUAUUUAGCAUUUACGGAUUUAUUUAAUAUGCAGAUAUGGUUAAUCCAGAAAAUGCCUUGUUUACUAAUGCCUUUGAAAGCAAGGUCAUUCUUGGUUCGGGUAAAGCACAAAUUGAACUGCCAGGUACGUGCCCUUUAUUAGACUGCGAGCCACAGCUUACAGUUAUCUGUACAUGAAUAUGACUAUUGUUGCAUGAAUGAGUAACUUCUCGUGAAUGUAUUUUUGUCUUAUGAAAUCUGUUGCAGAUGAGGAAGUCUCUGUGGUUUCAUUAGUUGAAAAAUUAUCAGAUUGCACAGACAAGGAACUAAGUGAUUUGGUUAGUAUUGACUUGUAUUUAUCUUGUAUAGCUAGUGACAUUUGUCCUAGUCUCUUCUCAUUCAUAGAUCAUCUCUUGACUUCGGCACUGUUUAUUAUUUAGGCAUCUUGGUUGGGUGGAUCAUAUAUUACUGAUGCCUUCGGACCAUUGAAUGGAGAGUUGAUCAUCCCCUUGGCUGGUGGUGCUAAUGUGAAUCUUGACAUGUCAAAGGUAGUUUAUUUAUCAUUUCUUAUGGCUUCAUUGAAUUCGAGAUUAAAACUUUUAGUUUUAUAAUUCUCAAAAUUUGUAUUGGAAACUUACAUUUUUAUUCUUUACAGAAAUUAGAUAAGGAAUUUAUAGCAAGUCUCUUGGCUUUGUUCCACAAUAGUAGAAGAGCAAUAGAAUUGCAUGAAGACCUGUCACAAGUUGCUCAAGGACCUGCAGAGUUAAUAAUGGGUAGUUUUGAUGGCAUUAAGGUGAUGGCAUUAACUUUGACAUAUGAUGUUUCAAAUGUGUGAAAUUGCAAUUUUAUCUGUUAAUAAUAGGUUGCUUUAAGCAAGUAUUGUGUUAGUAGAGAUUACCUUUCUAUUCCUAAAUUUGAAGGAACAAAGACUGCUGUGAAUGGUGCAAGUUCAUUAAUGAGGUCAAGAAUGAGUAAAUGCUUAUUUUCAUAUUUGUGUUUUCCUACUCUGGUUUUCAGAGGGUCUUUGAGUACAUGUUUAAAAUGGCUGGAACGAUGUAAUGGAUAAUGGGACUCUUCAGCCUUUCUGGGUUUAUCAGAACUUUUCAGGUUUCACGAUUGGCAUGCCUUUGAUUACUGAAUUAUGUUGGUUUUCAUAAUGGUGAAAUUUUAUGCGAACUAUUUCUUCUUGCAUUAAUUUUUAAUUUAUAUAAUUUGGAAUGUCAAGAAUAUAUCGAGUUGUGUUGGUUUUGUUUUGUCUUUUUCCCAAACUUGAAAAACUAAAAAUUGCGCUGUUUCUUUAUCUAAACUUUCAAGAUAUAGUUUCAUAUAUUAUCUAUUAAGUCCAUCACUUAUUUAUUUAUAUUACUACAGGCUUUGGAAGGGCAAUAUGGACAAGGAGUUGUUGUUCAGCAAAGGAUGGAGCUAUUGCUUGCUACAUUGUCUAAAAUGCUUGAUUCCUUCCAAGUAGCAUACAAAGGUAGGUUGUCAUUCUUUUCAGUAUGAGCUUUUUCUUAUGCUAAAACAUUGUCAUUGUCCAUCCUGAAUAUGUGAGAAGAGAAACCUUGUUUACCUGAAUAGCAUUUGCAUCCAUUGAACACACCAUAAGUUCUCUUCCUAUGUAUGACAAGUUUGAGGUUUUUUUAAUUAGAGAAAUAUAUGCAAUUUGAAACUGAUCUUGUGGCUUGUGAUGCAUUCUGCAAAUAAUUUAAAUUUCAAGUUACAACUCUUUCUUCAUAUUUACAGCCGAUUUUUGUGAUUAAAAUAUACUGCUGUUAGUAAUAUUGCUAUUGCUUGACUAUGGCAAUAAUGGUGAUUGACAGGUCAAAUUGUUGGAAUUAUCAUCUGUAAUGAUGCAUCCUCUUCAGAAUCAGAAAUGAUGUUGAAUGUCAUUUUGAAUUCUCGGCCAUCUGCACGUUGGUUGGCUGAGGUAAAAGGAUCAAAUGCAACUAAUGCAACCCUUGUGGAAGUGGCCUUGGUAAGGAAGACCCUAGCUUGGUUGACGGGGAUUAUUCUCAUCAUUUCUACUCUAUUAGGGGUAAGAUUAUCUAAUUUAAACUUGACAUGGUAUCUUUAGUUUUCAAAUUAUACUAAAUUUUAGAAAUUUGUAAUUUCUUAUGACUUUGGCUGUUAUCUUCAUUGUGAGUACUUGUGCGUGUGCACAUGCACACCCACCCCACCCCUUAUCCAUGGAUCUAAAAGGUUUUUAGGCUCAUUCAUAGAGUUGCUGUGGCAAAAUGCACACCUUUUCUCAGUUUCUCUAUUCUUUUCUGCAGAUAUACCUGCUGCUCAAUAUGCCCCUCACGAGGGACACCCUUCUCUACUCUAAUGUCAAGCUUGACUAAACUGAGAGGAAGUUGAUGUAUCUUUCUGCUGCUAGAAGUUCAGGAUGGCAUUCCGGUUUUUGUGAAUGAGUUAUUCUUAGAUUUUUUUUUUUUUUUUUUUUUUUUUUCAAAUUACCAAUGGCUAUUUAAAUUGUUAUGGAACCUGCUCAACACCUGCUCCUUGAGUAGGUCAUUCUGGCAAAUCGGGAAUUGAUAGCUGGUUUACACAAUAUAAGGGAGUCACCGGUUGAUGCCGGGUAGUUUCAGAUGUAUGGCUAUUUAAAUUGUUAUGGAACCUGCUCAACACCUGCUCCUUGAGUAGGUCAUUCUGGCAAAUCGGGAAUUGAUAGCUGGUUUACACAAUAUAAGGGAGUCACCGGUUGAUGCCGGGUAGUUUCAGAUGUGCUUUGGGGGCAUGGGGAAGUGAAAUGAUGAUUGUGCAACAAUUUAUAGUUG
rnacentral:lncRNA from 1 species